UGGGGGAUAUUGCACAAUGGGCGAAAGCCUGAUGCAGCGACGCCGCGUGGGGGAUGAAGGCCUUCGGGUUGUAAACUUCUUUUGCUCUGAACAAGGCGCACCAUGGGGUGUGUUGAGUGUAGGGGUAGAUUAGCGCCGGCUAACUACGUGCCAGCAGCCGCGGUAAUACGUAGGGCGCGAGCGUUGUCCGGAAUUAUUGGGCGUAAAGGGCUUGUAGGUGGCUGGUUGCGUCUGUCGUGAAAGCUCAUGGCUUAACUGUGGGUUUGCGGUGGGUACGGGCUGGCUUGAGUGCAGUAGGGGAGGCUGGAAUUCCUGGUGUAGCGGUGGAAUGCGCAGAUAUCAGGAGGAAUACCGGUGGCGAAGGCGGGUCUCUGGGCUGUUACUGACACUGAGGAGCGAAAGCAUGGGGAGCGAACAGG
rnacentral:rRNA from 1 species